CCUACGGGGGGCAGCAGUGGGGAAUAUUGGACAAUGGGGGCAACCCUGAUCCAGCCAUGCCGCGUGUGUGAAGAAGGCCCUCGGGUUGUAAAGCACUUUCAGUGAGGAAGAACGCCUGGUGGUUAAUACCCAUCAGGAAAGACAUCACUCACAGAAGAAGCACCGGCUAACUCCGUGCCAGCAGCCGUGGUAAUACGGAGGGUGCGAGCGUUAAUCGGAAUUACUGGGCGUAAAGCGCGCGUAGGUGGCUUGAUAAGCCGGUUGUGAAAGCCCCGGGCUCAACCUGGGAACGGCAUCCGGAACUGUCAAGCUAGAGUGCAGGAGAGGAAGGUAGAAUUCCCGGUGUAGCGGUGAAAUGCGUAGAGAUCGGGAGGAAUACCAGUGGCGAAGGCGGCCUUCUGGACUGACACUGACACUGAGGUGCGAAAGCGUGGGUAGCAAACAGGAUUAGAUACCCUGGUAGUC
rnacentral:rRNA from 1 species